UCUUAGUGGUUUUCACGGCUCAGACAGGUGUUCCUCUCUCCCCACCGCUCUCCUCUCCUCUCUAGCGACAACGGCGGCACCCGAGACGGCGACAGCGGCUGCACGCACCUGAGGGACCAACCGGAGGCGCGUGUAGCGAGCAGGAGGCGAUGUAGGCAGUGCAAUGAUCCGACGCGAGCUGGGGGCGACAAUGGCCUUCUCUGGUGUCGCUCUCCACCGACGGUCUCCAUUCAAGUGGAUGAUAACAAAUGCAUGAGGGAUAGAGAGGAAUGAGUUUUCUGGAACGCGUCUUCGUAUCUUAGUGUAUGGUGGGUACAAGUAAUGUUUGAUUCAAAAUUUAGACCUUUUUACCAAUAAUCAGUAGCAAAAUUUAGGAUUGUUGAGAAGAGAGGUGAACCUAAAGGCUUCGGUACUACUCUUAGGAUACUAUGUUGCUUCCAGGCCAUGGAUAAGAAUAGUUCAGUCGCUUGAGAGAUUGUUGAACAUAUGAAAUUGAUGGAAAUAUCUGGGCACCCUCAAGUUAAGUUGCUACCAAAAGAGCCAGGCACGCCUCCUACUCAUCAUAAACUUACAACAACAUCAUUGUUUUUUAGUGUUUUUUUGUUCUGCCGUAUGGAUUUCUAAAUGCAUCAUGUAACUUAUUGGCAUGCAGAAGGUAAUAUUACGUCCAUCCAUUUUGUUUUAUAGAAUGAAGACCGGUUCUUUCUUCAUGACGUAAUCUUACCUCGAGUGCUUUUGUUUUCUUACCUUGUAAAGGUGUGGACGUGGGAGACGGUUUAGGCCGUAAUCUUACCUUGAGUGCUUUUGUUUUCUUAAAUUGUAAAGGUGUGGACGUGGGAGAUGGACUGGGGUGAAGAAUAAGAAUUCUUCACCCUAGGUGACGAAUAUAUAUAUUGGAAGGAACAGAGUUGUAUUCCGUUAAACUGAUGCACUGGACAUGUCACCAGCAUACUUGUUCAGUACAAACAGUGGUAGAUGGCCAACCCACACCUCACGGUUGCCAUUUCCCUAACGGCGCGCCAUGGACAGUAAGUUCAUGAGCUACUCCAUUACAUGAUCAUGGUACGACCAAUAUUCAGAAGUUUUCAAAACUAACAUAAACAUGGCUUCUAUUUCUCUAAAUAGAACACCCAGCGGCGCUAGAUCAUAAUCAUUUGACGUAAUAGCUUUCUUCAUGACUGUUGAAUCUGUCUCCAGAACCACCUGAUGACACCCCAUUACUGAUGUGAUUUGAACCGCAUGGUGAAGAGCUCGAGCUUCAGCUUCAAGUGCACUUCCUGACUUCCUGAAGAUGACCUUGUCCAGCCACAACUACAACACCUCGAUCAUUCCUGACGAUGAAAGUCCCAGCCACCUGAAAGAUGUAGUUCUGGAAAGGCCCCAUUUGUGUUGAUUUUUAGAAAAUUAUGCAUUGGUCGAGACCAUUGCCACUGCAUCUUACUCUUUGGUGUUACUUUCUUUACUUGCAUGUUGUUAUACUGCAAAACAUAAACUGUGAUGGAGAUCGUUAUCUCUCCAGUUGUUCUUGUUUUUUUCUCCUCAGUUUGCUUUAUUCCUUUCUGCCCAACAGAUCCAGUGCAACAAGGUGAGCCUCUUAUCUUCAUUCAGAUUGAAAAUUUCCUGUAGGAGAG
rnacentral:rRNA from 1 species